CCGCGUGAGUGAAGAAGGGUUUCGGCUCGUAAAGCUCUGUUGUUGGAGAAGAACGUGCGUGAGAGUAACUGUUCACGCAGUGACGGUAUCCAACCAGAAAGUCACGGCUAACUACGUGCCAGCAGCCGCGGUAAUACGUAGGUGGCAAGCGUUAUCCGGAUUUAUUGGGCGUAAAGCGAGCGCAGGCGGUUGCUUAGGUCUGAUGUGAAAGCCUUCGGCUUAACCGAAGAAGUGCAUCGGAAACCGGGCGACUUGAGUGCAGAAGAGGACAGUGGAACUCCAUGUGUAGCGGUGGAAUGCGUAGAUAUAUGGAAGAACACCAGUGGCGAAGGCGGCUGUCUGGUCUGCAACUGACGCUGAGGCUCGAAAGCAUGGGUAGCGAACAGGAUUGGAUACCCUGGUAGUCCAUGCCGUAAACGA
rnacentral:rRNA from 1 species